AUCAAUUGAAGCAGUGCGGAGAAAAGGCUGAGCUGGAAACAUUGAUUAUGAAAACAUUAAGAAUGGGCUAAUGAGCAUGGCUACAAGGAUUUCGAUUCUCAUAACACCAUACAUAUGAAGGAAAAGGUAUACAGAUGAGGAGGCAUACAACGGUAUGUCAAUUAGUAUUGGCAUGUUACGCAGAUCAUAUUUACCAUCCUCCUCCCUUACCUCUUCAGUGAAUGGAUGUCCCAUAAGCAUCUACAUUAUGGAUAUGUGUAUGAAGUCAAGAUGUGAUGAGCCAGAGCAACCAAUCAGCUUUACUGCAGUUGCUCAACCCACCACUCUCAAUGUUCUCCCUCCACAAGUAACCACAUCGUCUUCUCCUGUUCAACUACAUUGCCACCACACUAAAAAUGACUGUACAUAUACCCCUGUGCCCAUCUCAGUGUAAUAUGAUCAAUCCAAUGUGUAUGGACACAUUUUUUAUGUUUAAUUUAAUUUAGUUUAUUUUGCCUCCCAGUUAUUUGCAUUUAAUGUAUGUACACUGCUCAAAAAAGGGAACAUUUGAUUUCCAUUGAUAAUUUUUUUGUGAUUUUGUUGUCAGCAUGGAGGUCUGGAUUCGGAGUGGAUUAAGAGUGACACUCAAAAUUAAAGUGGAAAACCACCCUACAGGCUGAUCCAACUUUGAUGUAAUGUCCUUAAAACAA